rnacentral:rRNA from 1 species
AGAGUUUGAUCAUGGCUCAGGACUAACGCUGGCGGCGUGCCUAACACAUGCAAGUCGAACGAGGUAGCAAUACCUAGUGGCAGACGGGUGAGUAACACGUGGUCAACCUACCUUUAAGUGGGGGAUAACUAGCCGAAAGGUUAGCUAAUACCGCAUACGAUCUUCGAUCGGCAUCGAUUGGAGAUGAAAGGAGCAAUCCG